rnacentral:rRNA from 1 species
AGUGAACGCUGGCGGUAGGCCUAACACAUGCAAGUCGAACGGCAGCACAGUAAGAGCUUGCUCUUACGGGUGGCGAGUGGCGGACGGGUGAGGAAUACAUCGGAAUCUACUUUUUCGUGGGGGAUAACGUAGGGAAACUUACGCUAAUACCGCAUACGACCUACGGGUGAAAGCAGGGGAUCUUCUGACCUUGCGCGAUUGAAUGAGCCGAUGUCGGAUUAGCUAGUUGGCGGGGUAAAGGCCCACCAAGGCGACGAUCCGUAGCUGGUCUGAGAGGAUGAUCAGCCACACUGGAACUGAGACACGGUCCAGACUCCUACGGGAGGCAGCAGUGGGGAAUAUUGGACAAUGGGCGCAAGCCUGAUCCAGCCAUACCGCGUGGGUGAAGAAGGCCUUCGGGUUGUAAAGCUCUUUUGUUGGGAAAGAAAAGCAGCAGGUUAAUACCCCGCUGUUCUGACGGUACCCAAAGAAUAAGCACCGGCUAACUUCGUG